rnacentral:rRNA from 2 species
UUAACGCUGGCUGUGUGCCUAAUACAUGCAUGUCGAGCGGAAGUAGCAAUACUUUAGCGGCGAAUGGGUGAGUAACACGUGCUUAAUCUACCCUUUAGACUGGAAUAACUAAUGGAAACAUUGGCUAAUGCCGGAUGCGCAUGGAAUCGCAUGAUUCCGUUGUGAAAGGAGCCUCAAAGCUCCACUAGAGGAUGAGGGUGCGGAACAUUAGCUUGUUGGUGAGGUAACGGCCCACCAAGGCAAUGAUGUUUAGCCGGGUCGAGAGACUGAACGGCCACAUUGGGACUGAGAUACGGCCCAAACUCCUACGGGAGGCAGCAGUAGGGAAUAUUCCACAAUGAGCGAAAGCUUGAUGGAGCGACACAGCGUGCACGAUGACGGUCUUCGGAUUGUAAAGUGCUGUUAUAGGGGAAGAACACUUAGUUGAGGAAAUGCUUCUAAGCUGACGGUACCCUGUCAGAAAGCGAUGGCUAACUAUGUGCCAGCAGCCGCGGUAAUACAUAGGUCGCAAGCGUUAUCCGGAAUUAUUGGGCGUAAAGCGUUCGUAGGCUGUUUAUUAAGUCUGGAGUUAAAUCCCAGGGCUCAACCCUGGCUCGCUUUGGAUACUGGUAAACUAGAGUUAGAUAGAGGUAAGCGGAAUUCCAUGUGAAGCGGUGAAAUGCGUAGAUAUAUGGAAGAACACCAAAGGCGAAGGCAGCUUGCUGGGUCUAUACUGACGCUGAGGGACGAAAGCGUGGGGAGCAAACAGGAUUAGAUACCCUGGUAGUCCACGCCGUAAACGAUGAUCAUUAGUCGGUGGAUUAAUCACUGACGCAGCUAACGCAUUAAAUGAUCCGCCUGAGUAGUAUGCUCGCAAGAGUGAAACUUAAAGGAAUUGACGGGGACCCGCACAAGCGGUGGAGCAUGUGGUUUAAUUUGAAGAUACGCGGAGAACCUUACCCACUCUUGACAUCCUUCGCAAAGCUAUAGAGAUAUAGUGGAGGUUAACGGAGUGACAGAUGGUGCAUGGUUGUCGUCAGCUCGUGUCGUGAGAUGUUUGGUCAAGUCCUGCAACGAGCGCAACCCCUAUCUUUAGUUACUAACGAGUCAUGUCGAGGACUCUAGAGAUACUGCCUGGGUAACUGGGAGGAAGGUGGGGAUGACGUCAAAUCAUCAUGCCUCUUACGAGUGGGGCAACACACGUGCUACAAUGGUCGGUACAAAGAGAAGCAAUAUGGCGACAUGGAGCAAAUCUCAAAAAGCCGAUCUCAGUUCGGAUUGGAGUCUGCAAUUCGACUCCAUGAAGUCGGAAUCGCUAGUAAUCGCAGAUCAGCUAUGCUGCGGUGAAUACGUUCUCGGGUCUUGUACACACCGCCCGUCACACCAUGGGAGCUGGUAAUACCCAAAGUCGGUUUGCUAACCUCGGAGGCGACUGCCUAAGGUAGGACUGGUGACUGGGGUGAAGUCGUAACAAGGUAUCCCUACGAGAACGUGGGGAUGGAUCACCUCCUUUCUACGGAGUACAAUGAAGCCCGAUGGUGGCUUCGAGACUAAAAGUUAUGGAAAAACAUCGUAUCCAGUUUUGAGAGAACUAAACUUCUCUCUUUUGUUCUUUGAAAACUGAAUAUAGACAUUGAAAAUUAAAAAAUUAAUAUUUCAAAGUUUAGAUCAACCUAUAGAAUACAAAAUCAAUACAAUAGGUCAAUACUAUACAAUUGCAUAACAAAAAAUACUAUUAAACAAGAUAAGAGUUUUUGGUGGAUGCCUUGGGUCUGGAAGUCGAUGAAGGACGUGAUUACCUGCGAUAAGCCUCGUUUAGCUGGAAAUAAGCAAUUAUACGGGGAUUUCCGAAUGGGGAAACCUAAUUAAGCUAAUCCUUAAUUAUCAUAUCGAUGAAUUCAUAGUCGAAUGAAGAGACACGCUGUGAAUUGAAACAUCUCAGUAGCAGCAGGACAAGAAAAUAAAGAAUGAUUCCCUCAGUAGUGGCGAGCGAACGGGGAAGAGCCCAAACCAACACAAGUUGUUGGGGUUGUAGGACUACUAACAUGAAGUUACAAAAUUUACAUAUAGCAGAACAAGUUGGAAUGCUUGGACGGAGAGGGUGAAAUCCCCGUAAGCGAAAUGUGUAAAUCUUCUAGUAGCAUCCUGAGUAGGGCGGGGCACGUGAAACCCUGUCUGAAUCUGCCGGGACCACCCGGUAAGGCUAAAUACUAACCAGACACCGAUAGCGAACUAGUACCGUG